rnacentral:rRNA from 1 species
CAGCCGCCGCGGGAAUACCGAGGGUGCGAGCGUUAAUCGGAUUACUGGGCGUAAAGCGUGCGUAGGCGGCUUUUUAAGUCGGAUGUGAAAUCCCUGAGCUUAACUUAGGAAUUGCAUUCGAUACUGGGAAGCUAGAGUAUGGGAGAGGAUGGUAGAAUUCCAGGUGUAGCGGUGAAAUGCGUAGAGAUCUGGAGGAAUACCGAUGGCGAAGGCAGCCAUCUGGCCUAAUACUGACGCUGAGGUACGAAAGCAUGGGGAGCAAACAGGAUUAGAUACCCCUGUAGUCCCUGUCUCUUAUACA